GGCAAGAAGGGUUCCAUUAACAGGCCAAUAAAUAAGAUUACAGUUAGUUUAAAAAAAAAAUAAAAAAAUAGGGGUAUUUUUUCUCUCAUAAUAACAGUAAACACAUUCACAACAAUGUCAAUUUCAAGAAAGCAGACAACAGCUAAUAAGUCAAUAACAGUACAGCAUCAAUGAUCUUGAAUAUAUGCCACUUUUAACUAAAAUAUAAAAGCACAGAACCAGGACAUAGGAGCACAGAACCAGGACCGUUUUUCUUAUCACCAGCACAGCGUCAGGACAAUUCCGUUUAACGAACUUGCACGACUUUUGCAAUAUAAUAUUGUUGUAAUAUACUUUGCAUGGUACUUAUGACACAUCAGAGAAAAAUUAAGCAACAAAACAGUCGUUUUAUUGCCGUUCUGAUACAAUGUAAACAAACCCACCAGCACAUAAUCAGGACCCACCAGCACCCGUCAGGACCAAAUCACCAGCACAGUACGUUCUCUCGCAGGACAACCAUACCCACCGUGACUUUAACAUUUUUAAUUAUUUCUUGUAACAGGAAUAUUUGUGCUGAAUGGAAACUGUGUUGGUCACAAUCUCAUAUUGGUUAUAAAUAGUUGUACCAAGUUUCGUUAUCUUAUCUGAAUUUCCUAAAAAGUGCAAGGUAGAUAGGCAUUCUUUUUGUUAUUACGGACGCCAAGUCAAUACAUGUAGCUCACACCGCACUCGCCACAGGUGAGAUUAUAGCGAAACGGGUUGAUAACCAGUUAUUUCAAAUCAGUUUUGAAAAAUGUGUAGAUUUGUAUUGUUACAGCGGAUGACAGUGAGGGCAUAGAGAUGUGUUUUUUUUUCUGAGACAAGUCUUUAUCAUAAUAUCCAUCGGACAGCUGUCAGCUGAUGUUCUGUACAUCAGUACUUUGAUUUUCAACUGUUAUGGCUUUUAAAAGUUAAAUGUAGGUGUAUAAUUUAGUUUUUUUUGCAUCUUAUAUACUUUUAUAAUUAUCACUCAAUUGGUAGUAUGAAGCUACGAGAUAUUUUGAUUUUUGAAAUUAAAAGCACAUUUAACAAAACCGAUUUCUGUAGGUGCAAACAAGUAUAAAUUCAACUAAAAAAAAAACUUACUCGAAAAGAUAAAAUAUUGAUUUUAAUUUGCAUAUCUGAUCCUCCUUCCCCAUCCAGCAACAGCUCUUUUUUGGGGGGGAAAGGGGGGGGGGGGUAAAAAUGGGCAAUCAUUUUAUCGCAUUCUACUUCCAAGGCGUGUUUGAGUUGAUUGUUUUGUCCUGAAAACACAUAAAUAAAAACAAAUGUUUGAAAUAUCUGGCUUUAGUUUCGAUUUAAAAAAAAAAUAUUCACAAAGGUUACAUGUUAAUCUUAUAGUACUAAGAAUUCACUGUAUCAAAAAAUUAAAUAAAUGCCAUUCUAAUUAAAAUAUUGAUCUCUGAUUACGUUGUAGUAUAACGUAAUCAAAGAUCAAUAUUUUAAUUUAGAUUGAAAUAAAUGCGUGAAGUGAAAUACCUCAGUAAUGAAUCAUUACUAAAGAGAAGGUGUGUCUGGAACACAAAACUUAAAAGCCUCGUGAUAUUACCAAUAUUUAAAUAAGUAUUUCUAGUCUUGUAUUUUUUUACGGAAGCGUUUUAGCGCCACGCAUUUUCCCCCUCUCUUUGCGUUAUAACGCAAACAUAGGAAGAAAAAAAUUAAGAGAUAUUUUUAUUUUUAUUCAUGAAAUACAUUUAAAUACAGAAAAGUAGGACACAUCAUUCACCCCCACCCCACCCCCCCCCCUUAAUUCUUUAUCAAAAAUCUUUGACAACAGACUUUCUUUUGGGAUUAUAAAAUGCAAAACUUAAAAAAUCUCAUUUCUGUUAGUGUUAUCUAGGUUAUAUCGUCUUCAUUCUCUGACAAAUUCAGACGUCCCUCUUACUCCCCCCCCCCCAAAAAAAAACAACCUUAAAAAGCAUAAAAAACCGCAAUACUGUAAUAGAUCAUAAUAGAAUAGUCACCCUUUAGUCAGCACUAACUUCUUUACAAAGAAAUCCGAUUGUAGCUGCUGAAGACACAUGAUUCCAACGCACAGAAACAAGGGAGAGUUUCAUUUGGUUGAAUAAAAAGAAAAGUAUCAACAGUAUCAUACAAAUUUGUCAGAGAAACAAUAUUCAGGAUGUUUAGAUUACACUGAAUGCAUUAUCCAAACUCAUCUAAGAAGUGUUCAGGCUCACCUGAGUCUGAUUGUUUGCCUUGAUCAACUUUGUUUGUUUUUUAUUCUUACAAAACAUGUUAAAUCCCCAAGCAUUUUAGCGCCCUGUCCAAGUCAGGCGACCCUUGGAUUUGUAAGUCUUGUAUGUCUGUUUUGUUUAUAAUUUCAGUACAUUAAAAUGUUGAUAACCGAUAACAGCUGAGAAAAACAGAAAACUAUGGGUUCUUUUUUCAUAAUUGCAGUAAACACAUAUAACAGCUAAUUAGUCAAUUACAGUUGAGCAUCAAUGAUUUUGAAUAAUUGCCACUUUUGACUAAAAUAUAAAGGCACAGAACCAGGACAUAGGAGCACAGAACCAGGACCGUUUUUCUUAUCACCAGCACAGCGUCAGGACAAUUUCAUUUAACGAACUUGCACGACUUUUGCAAUAAAAUAUUGUUGUAAUAUACUUUGCAUGGUACUUUUGACGUAUCAGAGAAAAAUUAAGCAACAAAACAGUCGUUUUAUUGUCGUUCUGAUACAAUGUAAACAAACCCACCAGCACAGAAUCAGGACCCACCA
rnacentral:lncRNA from 1 species